UACGGAGGGUGCGAGCGUUGUCCGGAAUUAUUGGGCGUAAAGAGCUCGUAGGCGGACUGUCACGUCUGCUGUGAAAAGCUAGGGCUUAACCCUGGCCUUGCAGUGGAUACGGGCAGACUAGAGGUAGGUAGGGGAGAAUGGAAUUCCCGGUGUAGCGGUGAAAUGCGCAGAUAUCGGGAGGAACACCGGUGGCGAAGGCGGUUCUCUGGGCCUUACCUGACGCUGAGGAGCGAAAGCGUGGGGAGCGAACAGG
rnacentral:rRNA from 1 species